UACGUAGGGGGCAAGCGUUGUCCGGAUUUAUUGGGCGUAAAGAGCGUGUAGGCGGCCAUGUAGGUCCGGUGUGAAAACUCGAGGCUUAACCUCGAGAUGUCAUCGGAAACCAUUUGGCUAGAGUCCGGAAGAGGAGAGUGGAAUUCCUGGUGUAGCGGUGAGAUGCGCAGAUAUCAGGAAGAACACCAAUGGCGAAAGCAGCUCUCUGGGACGGUACUGACGCUGAGACGCGAAAGCGUGGGGAGCAAACAGG
rnacentral:rRNA from 1 species